rnacentral:rRNA from 1 species
UACGUAGGGGCCAAGCGUUGUCCGGAUUUAUUGGGCGUAAAGAGCUCGUAGGUGGUUUGUCGCGUUGUUCGUGAAAACUCACAGCUUAACUGUGGGCGUGCGGGCGAUACGGGCAGACUGGAGUACUGCAGGGGAGACUGGAAUUCCUGGUGUAGCGGUGGAAUGCGCAGAUAUCAGGAGGAACACCGGUGGCGAAGGCGGGUCUCUGGGCAGUAACUGACGCUGAGGCGCGAAAGCGUGGGGAGCGAACAGG